rnacentral:rRNA from 1 species
UGGGAGCUUGCUCCCAUUUCUCAGCGGCGGACGGGUGAGUAACACGUGGGCAACCUGCCCUGCAGACUGGGAUAACUCCGGGAAACCGGAGCUAAUACCGGGUAAUACAUAGCAUCGCAUGAUGCAACGUUGAAAGUUGGCUUUCGAGCUAACACUGUAGGAUGGGCCCGCGGCGCAUUAGCUAGUUGGUAAGGUAACGGCUUACCAAGGCCACGAUGCGUAGCCGACCUGAGAGGGUGAUCGGCCACACUGGGACUGAGACACGGCCCAGACUCCUACGGGAGGCAGCAGUAGGGAAUCUUCCGCAAUGGACGAAAGUCUGACGGAGCAACGCCGCGUGAGUGACGAAGGCCUUCGGGUCGUAAAGCUCUGUUGUUAGGGAAGAACAAGUACCGUUCGAAUAGGGCGGUACCUUGACGGUACCUAACCAGAAAGCCACGGCUAACUACGUGCCAGCAGCCGCGGUAAUACGUAGGUGGCAAGCGUUGUCCGGAAUUAUUGGGCGUAAAGCGCGCGCAGGCGGUCUCUUAAGUCUGAUGUGAAAGCCCACGGCUCAACCGUGGAGGGCCAUUGGAAACUGGGGGACUUGAGUGCAGAAGAGGAGAGUGGAAUUCCACGUGUAGCGGUGAAAUGCGUAGAUAUGUGGAGGAACACCAGUGGCGAAGGCGGCUCUCUGGUCUGUAACUGACGCUGAGGCGCGAAAGCGUGGGGAGCGAACAGGAUUAGAUACCCUGGUAGUCCACGCCGUAAACGAUGAGUGCUAAGUG